GACGAACGCUGGCGGCGUGCUUAACACAUGCAAGUCGAACGGAAAGGCCUGCUUUCCCUUGUGGAUUGCGGGUACUCGAGUGGCGAACGGGUGAGUAACACGUGAGUGAUCUGCCCCCAACUUGGGUAUAAGCCUGGGAAACUGGGUCUAAUUCCCGAUAGGACUGCAGGGUGGUGCCUGUGGUGGAAAACGAUUUUCUAGUGGUUGGGGAUGAGCUCGCGGCCUAUCAGCUUGUUGGUGGGGUAAUGGCCUACCAAGGCGGCGACGGGUAGCCGGCCUGAGAGGGUGGACGGCCACAUUGGGACUGAGAUACGGCCCAGAAGCCUACGGGAGGCAGCAGUGGGGAAGAUUGCACAAUGGGCGGAAGCCUGAUGCAGCGACGCCGCGUGGGGGAUGACGGCCUUCGGGUUGUAAACUCCUUUCGACCGCGAGGAAGCCACCUGGUUGGAAGGGUGGUGACGGUAGUGGUAGAAGAAGCACCGGCUAACUACGUG
rnacentral:rRNA from 1 species